AACGCACAUUGCGCCCUUUGGUAUUCCAAAGGGCAUGCCUGUUCGAGCGUCAUUUGUACCCUCAAGCUUUUGCUUGGUGUUGGGCGUGUUUGUCUUGCAAAAGACUCGCCUUAAAACGAUUGGCAGCCGGCCUACUGGUUUCGGAGCGCAGCACAUUUUUGCGCUUUCAAUCAGCAAAAGAGGACGGCAAUCCAUCAAGUACAUUUCUCACUUUUGACCUCGGAUCAGGUAGGGAUACCCGCUGAACUUAA
rnacentral:misc_RNA from 1 species